UCUCCAUGCUCGAAGCAGGUUAACGUCCAUUUUUCUCUCCAGCAUAUUUCUUUCCUAACGGGUUACAACUGCAGGUGAGUCGUGAAAACACCCUCUUAAUUGUGCUGGCUAAAAGCUCAGUGCGAUCACUCGUUUGUGGUUUAUUAAGUGAAACCUGCAAAGCUCAGCUAGGGAAUCUGUCACACUCGAUUCUCCUCCAAGUCCUUCUCGGGUAGACAAUAGCGGGGCUCGUGUGGCAGAGUGGGGACAAUCCUUUAACAAGAAAGGUGGAUAGAAAGGAGCGGUCGUCUAGCAAAAGGGUUGAAAUCCCCCUCUGCUCUUCCAGUCUUUCCAACCGGGGUCUCCAGCUCAGUCUGAUGGUUGGCUCCAAGCAACCACAUCUGCAUUGAUCAGUUGCUGGCAGAGCCUCCCAAGGAACAGCCACACCAGGUUCCUGUCAGCAAGCAACUCUUGGCAACAGCAACAGUGUGAGGGUUUGGUGUCUGCAGACAGGAUGGAUCCCCAGUUCUUGGUUUCCUGUGUUCAAAUGAAAAUGUGAUUGGCCAGUUUCCUCCUCAACGCUGCAAUGAAACCCGAUGGUGUCUACAGCUUUCUACUGUCCUGUGGUCCACGAAGGUUGUAGACCGGCUGCCACUAUCAUUCCUGGAGAAAAGAUAAGGACCAACUCUGAGGAGACGUUAGGAGUAUGAGGCGGUGACACCGAGAGGUAGCUCUCUGUGGGGAAAGACACUUUGAAACACUUUCACACACCAAGGCUCCUUCCUGACAUCGAGUUGAAAUCACUUUAGCAUGGAUAAUUUUUAAAUGAAAUAGUUUCUGAGGGCGGAAAAGAGCCAUAUUGGAUUUUAUCUGGUUAUUACAUUCAAAAAAUGUCUUGUAUCAAGAAAGUGGAUAUUGUCCCAGCAUUAUUAAAAUAUUCUAUUUAGAAAAAUGACAUUGUUACUCAUUCGAAACAGAUGUUGGUCUAGAUAAAGGGAAAUGCCUUCACAGGUCUCAAACACAAGCACGCGGGAUUACAGACAAGGAAUUACAGCUCAAGCAGGAGCACUGCCUCUGCUCCCCUGCAGUGUUUGGGUGACUUGCUGCUGUCUGACAAAGUACCCCAAAACUUUAUGGCUUAAAAUAAGGACUGGAAAGUUUUUCUUGCAAAGUAGAUUCUUUUAAACUCUCUGCGGCACCUGCUCAAUGCAGCUGUUGUAAGUCAAAAGCAGUCAAAGACAGUCUGUAUAAACAGGGGGGCAGCCCUCUCCUCUACAAAAAAGAGGCAUGUGGGCUAUAGUUUCCUAGCUUCUGGUUUAUAAAAGCUCAUAGUUCUGCAGGUUGGUAUUGGGUCAGGGCAUCUAGCUUCUUGUCAUUGUGUGGGUUAAUGGAUGUGUAUGCCUUGAGGUAGCAAGCAGGAAGAAAGACCAGCUCGUAUUGAUCUCCACCACGAGUCUAGCAAUGGACUGGACUGUUGGCUGUGUGCCUCAGUGUGCUUUCACGAACCUCUGUCAUUGGCUAAUUUAGGGUUUUCUCCAUAGGAACUAGAUUUCUGGGAGUCAAAAGCAAAAGCUUCAAGAGCUCUUUAAGAUUUGGCUAAUGCCAUGAUGCCAUGAUGCCAUUUUCAAUUUUGUUAGGAUCAUAAAACCAUCUAUUCUAACAUGGAGAGC